rnacentral:rRNA from 1 species
CACGUAGGGUGCGAGCGUUGUCCGGAAUUAUUGGGCGUAAAGAGCUCGUAGGCGGUGUGUCGCGUCGGCCGUGAAAACCUGCAGCUUAACUGUGGGCUUGCGGUCGAUACGGGCAUCACUGGAGUUCGGCAGGGGAGACUGGAAUUCCUGGUGUAGCGGUGAAAUGCGCAGAUAUCAGGAGGAACACCGGUGGCGAAGGCGGGUCUCUGGGCCGAUACUGACGCUGAGGAGCGAAAGCAUGGGGAGCGAACAGG